ACAUCAUCAAGCUUGUGACUAUCCGCUGAACGAAGGUACUGACUGCGAGAAAUAUGCAGGUCUUUACCUAAGAAGUUAAGGCAAGGACAAGAGUGGAAGCAGGCAUUAGAAAUUGAAGCAGCUUGAUUGCAGGUCUAAUCACUCUUCGCCUUCUUCAAAGACGUUUGCCAGAAUACUUGACAUGCCAGCAGGCAAAUCUGCCAACUAUAUACAGGAUAUAUACAUAUACUGUCAUGGGUGUAUCUGUCCUGGACCCCACCUGCUCCGACGACUAGAUGCGGUCACCUGCUUCUCGUCUUGUUAAUUGCGGUCCGUUUAUAUUGCCACGCAUGUGGUCUGGUCCUUGCCAGAUCGAUGUACUUCCAUAUCACGUUCCCACAACUCCAUGACCUUGUCUUUGAUACUCUGUGUACCGAACACUGCCUUGUUGAUGACCCUGCCUCUCCACCCAUUGAUUCUGACACGGCUGCUUGUUUACACUUCCCGCCUGUGUACCAACCUUGGACGGAAAAAAUACACUUCCCGAACUGUA